GGGUGAGUAACGCGUGGAUAACCUGCCUCACACUGGGGGAUAACAGUUAGAAAUGACUGCUAAUACCGCAUAAGCGCACAGUGCCGCAUGGCAGUGUGUGAAAAAUUCCGGUGGUGUGAGAUGGAUCCGCGUCUGAUUAGCCAGUUGGCGGGGUAACGGCCCACCAAAGCGACGAUCAGUAGCCGACCUGAGAGGGUGACCGGCCACAUUGGGACUGAGACACGGCCCAAACUCCUACGGGAGGCAGCAGUGGGGAAUAUUGCACAAUGGGCGAAAGCCUGAUGCAGCGACGCCGCGUGAGUGAAGAAGUAUUUCGGUAUGUAAAGCUCUAUCAGCAGGGAAGAAAAUGACGGUACCUGACUAAGAAGCCCCGGCUAACUACGUGCCAGCAGCCGCGGUAAUACGUAGGGGGCAAGCGUUAUCCGGAUUUACUGGGUGUAAAGGGAGCGUAGACGGCGAAGCAAGUCUGAAGUGAAAACCCAGGGCUCAACCCUGGGACUGCUUUGGAAACUGUUUUGCUAGAGUGUCGGAGAGGUAAGUGGAAUUCCUAGUGUAGCGGUGAAAUGCGUAGAUAUUAGGAGGAACACCAGUGGCGAAGGCGGCUUACUGGACGAUAACUG
rnacentral:rRNA from 1 species